rnacentral:SRP_RNA from 2 species
GCUGGGCAUGGUGGCUCAUGCCUGUAAUCCUAGCACUUUGGGAGGCCAAGGCAGGUGGAUCACCUGAGGUCAGGAAUUCACGACCAGCCUGGCCAACAUGGUGAAACCCUGUCUUUA